UUGAAUAAGUGACACAAGCAAUUAUUAACCCAGUUCGGUGCAAACUCACCUACGUCUGGGGGCUACCAAGCCAGGAAUGAAAACCACUAAACAAAAUUAGUUCAAAGACUCUUAGUAAACAACUUCAAGUUACAGUCUUUUCACCUAAUCUCUAACCGGGUGACAUCUAUCUAAGAACUCUUAGAUAUGAGCCCCUACUCACUACCCCUCAAUCACAAUAGUGAUAUAAAAACAAAUAUUACAAAG
rnacentral:lncRNA from 1 species